rnacentral:rRNA from 1 species
UACAGAGGUCUCAAGCGUUGUUCGGAUUCAUUGGGCGUAAAGGGUGUGUAGGUGGCGCCGUAAGUCGGGUGUGAAAUUUCGGAGCUUAACUCCGAAACUGCAUUCGAUACUGCGGUGCUUGAGGACUGGAGAGGAGACUGGAAUUCAUGGUGUAGCAGUGAAAUGCGUAGAGAUCAUGAGGAAGACCAGUGGCGAAGGCGG